GACGAACGCUGGCGGCGUGCUUAACACAUGCAAGUCGAACGAAGUGGCGAACGGGUGAGUAAUACGUGGGUAACCUGCCCUCCUUUUUGGGAUAAACCUUGGAAACGGGGUCUAAUACCGAAUAAAGGGGGAUGGGCUCGCGGCCUAUCAUCUUGUUGGUGGGGUGAUGGCCUACCAAGGCGGUGACGGGUAGACGGCCUGAGAGGGUGACCGGACACAUUGGGACUGCCAUACGGCUCAGACUCCUACGGGUGGCAGCAGUGGGGGAUAUUGCACAAUGGACGCAAGCCUGCUGCAGCGACGUGGCGGGGGGGAUGAAGGCUUUAGGGUUGUAAACCUGUUUCGCUAUCGUACGGGUAGGUGGAGAAGAAGCGACGGCUAACUACGUGCCAGCAGCCGCGGUAAUAC
rnacentral:rRNA from 1 species